rnacentral:rRNA from 1 species
UACAGAGGGUGCGAGCGUUAAUCGGAAUUACUGGGCGUAAAGCGCGCGUAGGCGGCUUUGCAAGUCGGGUGUGAAAUCCCCAGGCUUAACCUGGGAACUGCAUUCGAGACUGCAUUGCUAGAGUAUGGGAGAGGGAAGUGGAAUUUCCGGUGUAGCGGUGAAAUGCGUAGAUAUCGGAAGGAACAUCAGUGGCGAAAGCGGCUCACUGGACUGGUACUGACGCUGAGGCGCGAAAGCGUGGGGAGCAAACAGG